GGAAUGAGUAGCGAGAAUUAUGUGGGAAUCAUAAUGGCCGAAAAUCUAAGGUUUCUUGGGGAAGGUUCGUCCGCCCAAGGUAAGCCGGGAGCUAAGGCGAGGCCGCAAGGCGUAGUCGAUGCACAUACGGUAGAAAUUCCGUAGCCGCCGAACUUUAAGCAUGCUGACACUUUGGAAUAGGGGAACCCGGGCGUUGGUCGACCCGGGCGUAAGGGACCGAAAAAUAGUAGGGAAGUCCUUGAUGUCCAGAGGCGAGAAAAGGCAUGUGGUAUACUAAGGCGCCCGUACCGCAAACCGACACAGGUAGAUGAGGAGAGAAUCCUAAGGCCAACGGGAGAAGGGUUGUUAAGGAACUCGGCAAAAUGACCCCGUAACUUCGGGAUAAGGGGAGCCUCCUACGGGAGGCCGCAGCGAAUAGGCCCAAGCGACUGUUUACCAAAAACACAGGUCUCUGCUAAAUCGAAAGAUGACGUAUAGGGGCUGACGCCUGCCCGGUGCUGGAAGGUUAAGAGGAGAUGUUAGCCGCAAGGCGAAGCAUUGAAUCGAAGCCCCAGUAAACGGCGGCCGUAACUAUAACGGUCCUAAGGUAGCGAAAUUCCUUGUCAGGUAAGUUCUGACCCGCACGAAUGGCGUAACGACUUGGGCGCUGUCUCAACAGCCCACCCGGCGAAAUUGUUGUACUGGUGAAGAAGCCAGUUACCCGCAACUAGACGGAAAGACCCCAUGGAGCUUUACUGUAGCUUAAUACUGGAAAUCGGUAAAUCAUGUACAGGAUAGGUGGGAGACUUGGAAGCCAGGGCGUCAGCUUUGGUGGAGUCACCCUUGGGAUACCACCCUUGAUUUGCUGGUUUUCUAACCUGCGGCCGUGAAUCCGGUCGGGGGACACUGUUAGGUGGGCAGUUUGACUGGGGCGGUCGCCUCCUAAAAGGUAACGGAGGCGCUCAAAGGUUCGUUCAGCACGGACGGAAACCGUGCAGUGAGUGUAAACGCAUAAACGAGCCUAACUGCGAGACCGACGGGUCGAGCAGUAACGAAAGUUGGAGUUAGUGAUCCGGCGGUAUGCAAGUGGAAGUGCCGUCGCUCAACGGAUAAAAGCUACCCUGGGGAUAACAGGCUGAUCUCCCCCA
rnacentral:rRNA from 1 species